UCCUACUUUAAUCGUAGUGUAUUUACGGAA
rnacentral:piRNA from 1 species